AGAGUUUGAUCCUGGCUCAGGAUGAACGCUGGCGGCGUGCCUAACACAUGCAAGUCGAGCGAUUCUCUUCGGAGAAGAGCGGCGGACGGGUGAGUAACGCGUGGGUAACCUGCCCUGUACACACGGAUAACAUACCGAAAGGUAUGCUAAUACGGGAUAAUAUAAGAAAUUCGCAUGUUUUUCUUAUCAAAGCUCCGGCGGUACAGGAUGGACCCGCGUCUGAUUAGCUAGUUGGUGAGGUAACGGCUCACCAAGGCGACGAUCAGUAGCCGACCUGAGAGGGUGAUCGGCCACAUUGGAACUGAGACACGGUCCAAACUCCUACGGGAGGCAGCAGUGGGGAAUAUUGCACAAUGGGCGAAAGCCUGAUGCAGCAACGCCGCGUGAGCGAUGAAGGCCUUCGGGUCGUAAAGCUCUGUCCUCAAGGAAGAUAAUGACGGUACUUGAGGAGGAAGCCCCGGCUAACUACGUGCCAGCAGCCGCGGUAAUACGUAGGGGGCUAGCGUUAUCCGGAUUUACUGGGCGUAAAGGGUGCGUAGGCGGUCUUUUAAGUCAGGAGUGAAAGGCUACGGCUCAACCGUAGUAAGCUCUUGAAACUGGAGGACUUGAGUGCAGGAGAGGAGAGUGGAAUUCCUAGUGUAGCGGUGAAGUGCGUAGAUAUUAGGAGGAACACCAGUAGCGAAGGCGGCUCUCUGGACUGUAACUGACGCUGAGGCACGAAAGCGUGGGGAGCAAACAGGAUUAGAUACCCUGGUAGUCCACGCCGUAAACGAUGAGUACUAGCUGUCGGAGGUUACCCCCUUCAGUGGCGCAGCUAACGCAUUAAGUACUCCGCCUGGGGAGUACGCUCGCAAGAGUGAAACUCAAAGGAGUUGACGGGGACCCGCACAAGUAGCGGAGCAUGUGGUUUAAUUCGAAGCAACGCGAAGAACCUUACCUAAGCUUGACAUCCUUUUGACCGAUGCCUAAUCGCAUCUUUCCCUUCGGGGACAGAAGUGACAGGUGGUGCAUGGUUGUCGUCAGCUCGUGUCGUGGGAUGUUGGGUUAAGUCCCGCAACGAGCGCAACCCUUGCCUUUAGUUGCCAUCAUUAAGUUGGGCACUCUAGAGGGACUGCCAGGGAUAACCUGGAGGAAGGUGGGGAUGACGUCAAAUCAUCAUGCCCCUUAUGCUUAGGGCUACACACGUGCUACAAUGGGUGGUACAGAGGGCAGCGAAGUCGUGAGGCCAAGCUAAUCCCUUAAAGCCAUUCUCAGUUCGGAUUGUAGGCUGAAACUCGCCUACAUGAAGCUGGAGUUACUAGUAAUCGCAGAUCAGAAUGCUGCGGUGAAUGCGUUCCCGGGUCUUGUACACACCGCCCGUCACACCAUGGGAGUUGGGGGCGCCCGAAGCCGGCUAGCUAACCUUUUGGAAGCGGUCGUCGAAGGUGAAACCAAUAACUGGGGUGAAGUCGUAACAAGGUA
rnacentral:rRNA from 1 species